GUGUCAGCCGCCGCGGUAAUACGUAGGGGCCAAGCGUUGUCCGGAUUUAUUGGGCGUAAAGAGCUCGUAGGCGGUUCGGUAAGUCAGGUGUGAAAUCUCCGCGCUCAACGCGGAGCGGUCAUCUGAAACUGCCGUGACUCGAGUCCGGUAGGGGAGUGUGGAAUUCCCGGUGUAGCGGUGAAAUGCGCAGAUAUCGGGAGGAACACCAGUGGCGAAGGCGGCACUCUGGGCCGGAACUGACGCUGAGGAGCGAAAGCGUGGGGAGCGAACAGGAUUAGAAACCCCUGUAGUCC
rnacentral:rRNA from 1 species